rnacentral:rRNA from 1 species
AUUGAACGCUGGCGGCAGGCCUAAUACAUGCAAGUCGAACGAGUGGCGGACGGGUGAGUAAUGUCUGGGAAACUGCCUGAUGGAGGGGGAUAACUACUGGAAACGGUAGCUAAUACUGCAUACCAUCAGAUGUGCCCAGAUGGGAUUAGCUUGUUGGUGGGGUAACGGCUCACCAAGGCGACGAUCCCUAGCUGGUCUGAGAGGGUGACCGGCCACACUGGAACUGAGACACGGACCAGACUCCUACGGGAGGCAGCAGUGGGGAAUAUUGGGCAAUGGGCGAAAGCCUGAUGCAGCCAUGCCGCGUGUAUGAAGAAGGCAUUCGGGUUGUAAAGUACUUUCAGCGGGGAGGCGUUACCCAAAGAGGAAGCACCGGCUAACUCCGUGCCAGCAGCCGCGGUAAUAC